UUUUGUUUUUAUUCCUCCUGUAUAGACACUCCUGUCCUAAAGCCAGUAUCUCUCUUGAGAAAAUGUGAUGUGAAGGAUUCUCAACUUGAGCCAGAUACAUCCACACCUAUGAAAAAGAAGAAGGGAUGGCCCAAAGGCAAAAGCCGCAAACCAAUCCACUGGAAGAAAAGACCUGGUCGCAAACCAGGAUUUAAGUUGAAUCGGGAAAUCAUACCCGUUUCUACUCAAGAAUGCGUUGUUGAGCCCAUUGUCCCCAUUCCUAAAGUGGGACGUAAAGCCAAACUUCAGGAGAACGAAGAAACUGUUGAACCAAAAGAAGACUUGCCUUUAACUGAAGAAAGGAAGGAAGAGGAGGAGAUGCACGUGGAAGCAGAAGAGGUUGAAGAGGGAGAAGAAGAAGACACAACCAGCAGUGAAGUUAGAGCAGCAUCUCCAGUGGAUAGCAACAGUCCCGAGACAGAAACGAAAGAACCCGAGAUAGAAGAGGAGGAGGAGAAGCCCCGUGUCUUAGAAGAGCAGAGGCAAUCAGAAGAGGAGCAACAAGAACUAGAAGAACAGGAGCAAGAGGAAGAGGAUGAAGUGGCUAUAGAGACAAACCAGAAUGAAGACCAUGAUGCAGAUGAUGAAGAUGAUGGUCAUCUGGAAUCUACCAAGAAAAAAGAGCUAGAGGAGCAGCUCGUUGGAGAAGAUGUCAAGGAGGAGCCCGGUGGUCAGGAGUCUUUUUUAGAUACUAAUAUGCAGAGCAGUAGGGAGAAUAUAAAGGAUAAAGAGGAAAUGGAACCAGAUUCUGAAGAGGAACAGACUUCGCAUGAAACGUCCAUGGUAUCAGAGCAUAUGCCGGGGUCUGAGGAUGAUCAUGAAGAAGAUUCAAACUCUAAGGAAGAAUUAAUUGAGCUGAAAGAGGAAGAAGAGAUUCCUCAUAGUGAACUGGAUCUGGAAACCGUGCAAGCAGUGCAGUCUUUGACUCAAGAGGAAAGUAACGAGCACGAGGGAGCCUACCAGGACUGUGAAGAAACUCUGGCAGCGUGUCAGACCCUGCAGAGUUACACCCAGGCUGAUGAAGACCCUCAGAUGUCAAUGGUUGAAGACUGCCAUGCUUCGGAACAUAAUAGUCCAAUAUCUUCUGUCCAGUCUCAUCCCAGCCAGUCGGUCCGUUCAGUCAGUAGUCCCACCGUGCCUGCCCUCGAAAGUGGUUACACCCAGAUCAGCCCGGAGCAAGGAUCCCUGUCCGCACCCUCUAUGCAGAACAUGGAGACCAGCCCCAUGAUGGAUGUGCCUUCCGUAUCAGACCACUCUCAGCAGGUGGUGGACAGUGGCUUCAGUGACCUGGGCAGCAUCGAGAGCACCACAGAGAACUACGAGAACCCCAGCAGUUACGAUUCUACAAUGGGCGGCAGCAUCUGUGGGAACAGCUCUUCGCAGAGCAGCUGCUCCUACGGCGGCCUGUCAUCCUCCAGCAGCCUCACCCAGAACAGCUGUGUUGUCACUCAGCAAAUGGCCGGCAUGGGCAACAGCUGCAGCAUGCUGCCGCAAAACGGCGUGCAGCCCGCCGCGGCCAACUGCAGCAUCAAGUCACCUCAGAGUUGUGUGGUGGAGAGGCCUCCGAGUAACCAGCAGCAGCCGCCGCCGUUUUUCCUGCUCAGUGGGCCAGCUGGAGUGUGGGUGCCCAGUGCCACCGAGAUACCCUCCACCGGGGCCGUGCCUGAG